GACGUAGGGCGCGAGCGUUGUCCGGAAUUAUUGGGCGUAAAGAGCUCGUAGGCGGCUUGUUGCGUCGACUGUGAAAACCCGCGGCUCAACCGUGUGGCUUGCAGUCGAUACGGGCAGGCUAGAGUUCGGUAGGGGAGACUGGAAUUCCUGGUGUAGCGGUGAAAUGCGCAGAUAUCAGGAGGAGCACCGGUGGCGAAGGCGGUGAUCUGGGCCGACACUGACGCUGUAGAGCGAAAGCGUGGGGAGCGAACAGG
rnacentral:rRNA from 1 species